rnacentral:rRNA from 1 species
ACAUGCAAGUCGAGGGGCAGCAUGAACUUAGCUUGCUAAGUUUGAUGGCGACCGGCGCACGGGUGAGUAACACGUAUCCAACCUGCCGAUGACUCGGGGAUAGCCUUUCGAAAGAAAGAUUAAUACCCGAUGGCAUAGUUCUUCCGCAUGGUAGAACUAUUAAAGAAUUUCGGUCAUCGAUGGGGAUGCGUUCCAUUAGGUUGUUGGCGGGGUAACGGCCCACCAAGCCUUCGAUGGAUAGGGGUUCUGAGAGGAAGGUCCCCCACAUUGGAACUGAGACACGGUCCAAACUCCUACGGGAGGCAGCAGUGAGGAAUAUUGGUCAAUGGACGAGAGUCUGAACCAGCCAAGUAGCGUGAAGGAUGACUGCCCUAUGGGUUGUAAACUUCUUUUAUACGGGAAUAAAGUGAGGCACGUGUGCCUUUUUGUAUGUACCGUAUGAAUAAGGAUCGGCUAACUCCGUGCCAGCAGCCGCGGUAAUACGGAGGAUCCGAGCGUUAUCCGGAUUUAUUGGGUUUAAAGGGAGCGUAGGCGGACGCUUAAGUCAGUUGUGAAAGUUUGCGGCUCAACCGUAAAAUUGCAGUUGAUACUGGGUGUCUUGAGUACAGUAGAGGCAGGCGGAAUUCGUGGUGUAGCGGUGAAAUGCUUAGAUAUCACGAAGAACUCCGAUUGCGAAGGCAGCUUGCUGGACUGUAACUGACGCUGAUGCUCGAAAGUGUGGGUAUCAAACAGGAUUAGAUACCCUGGUAGUCCACACAGUAAACGAUGAAUACUCGCUGUUUGCGAUAUACAGUAAGCGGCCAAGCGAAAGCGUUAAGUACUCCACCUGGGGAGUACGCCGGCAACGGUGAAACUCAAAGGAAUUGACGGGGGCCCGCACAAGCGGAGGAACAUGUGGUUUAAUUCGAUGAUACGCGAGGAACCUUACCCGGGCUUGAAUUGCAACUGAAUGAUGUGG